UGUGUGUGUCUGUAUUCCUAACACGCCGAGGUAAUUCAUUGAAAAACACACCCACGUACUGAGGUACCAAAAACUACCGAGGUACUUUUUCCCGUUACCUCGGAACGAGUACCUCGCCAAACGCUUGGAAAUACCAUAUCCCACAUUUUCGGCUCGUUUCCACGGGUACCUCGAAAUAACGUUGUAGUACUUGUUUGUGUGUCAGAGUGUGACCCCACACACUUGACGUUCAUCUCUGAUAUUUGGUUGGUUUCUGUGGUUCCAGUCUUGAAAAGCGGAAAUAGAAUAGCACCAACAGGGAACCAUCGUACCAAAAGCCGACAAACUCCUCACAGCAGUUACUUCCCUUAGGCAUGCGCCCGGUCAUUAAUCCGAGGUAGGAGCACACACCUACUGUUUUCAGACUCAAGUUUUUACAUUUUUUUCUUACAAAAAAGGAUCCUGUUUUCAGUGUUUCUAGUGUGUUAUAUUUAAUAACAUAACAUUAUCUUAUACAGUGGUGUAGGUUCCAGCUGGUGUCAUUGGAUUAUUUUAUAGAAUAAGAAAAUGAGGACAACGCCCAAGAAUGGCAAGAAGAAAGUGGUUUAUAAGAAAAAGGUCGAACACAUGUCGAGGUCAUGCCCCAUAUGUAGCCUGCAAGGUAUCACGACGCUGUAUGCGAGGGUCAGCGACUAUAUCUGGCGCAAGCACAGCUGUCGGCCGAGCAGGCGAAGCAGCUUUCGUCCGAGCAAAGGGCCGCCACUUGCAGAUGAACGAACAGCGAACGCCGGUAUUACCAGUGCUCAGCACCUGCGCCAGACAGAUAUCAAGGACAGAGGCUCCCUGGACUAGUGCUCAGGAAGAGCGAAAUCAAGAAGAGUGAUGCAGAAACGGAAGGUGCCUGCCUCCGCCGCAGCGUACAGGUCAGCAACCGCAUCCGGGUCCGCUGCCGGUUAUGGUUCGGCCAACCCACAGCCGCCACCACGCCCAGAAGAGAGCUCUUCAGAGGGUGAGCAGACACUGGACACCUUCCUCACCCGGGACUGCUGUCUCAGCCUCGGCCCGCAUUCUCGCAUCAUGCUUUGUCGUUAAAGCUUUUCGAUUGUGGAAGAAUUCAUCAUGCAUGCGGCCACGCGCUGUGGGUGGAAGUGCAAUGUGGCGAAGCGCCUGGAGUCCAAAUGAAGCUGAACCGCUUCCUGGCCCUGAGCGGGUACACUGAGGGGGCCGUGUUUGCAGACGUGCUGGUGUGAGGAGGACACAUGGAGGUCCACGACAACUACCUAACCAAGGCCCACCAGCCAGGAACAGUUCGAUCCGCCCUGACAGUGUUUGAGCCUUCUUGAAGUGGGCCGGGGACAAAAAGCAUGCACCAGCACCAACGGUGGAGGAAGCCGAUCGCACUAUCCAGGGCUGCCUGUCAGCCACCCGCGUCGCUCUGCCCUCGGCCGCCGCCCCGGAGCAGCAACCACAGCGUGAGGAAACGAUGUACGAUGAAAAAGAUGGGCAUGAUUUCACGCAUCAUACCGACGACGACACGAAUGUCCCUCUGCCGUCGGUCGCCGCCCCGGAACCUGACCAUGACACUGACACUCAGGCCCUAGACUUGGAGACCGGCCUGACGGAUUCCCUGGGGGAAAUCAAGGAUGCCCAGUGUGAGUCAUCAUCAUCCUCAUCGAUACCGAUCCGUGUUGUGUCCAGGAAGAGGCUGCGACAGGUGUCCUCCAGUGACGAGGAGGACCCAUACACUACGAAAUAUUGUGAAAAAUCUCAAGUUACGAAAGUCUCACUGAGUUGCUUUUCCGUGAGCUCACAUUACCCGUGUCGGCUGACAAAACUGGUUUUUGUACCCAGGAAAUUGUUGUAUAUAUAUUUUUUUGAUAUGUUCUCGUUGUAUUUAUGUAUUUCUGUGCCAAGUAGUCGUUUUACCCUGGAACGUGACUUUAUUAUGUUGUACAUAUGUUGUUUAAUUAAUAUACUUUGUAAGUACUGGUACUACUGGUUCUACUAACCCUACCCAGGUAAAUUACUUGAUUUAUUGUUAUAUAUAAUCAACAUAUACGCAUGCAUAAUUAGUACUGGUUCUGCCCAGGGUUUUUUGUCUGAAACUAUUAAAAUAAUACACACAUCAGUGUAUUAAUAUUACAGACA